rnacentral:rRNA from 1 species
CUCUAUGGCCAUAUCACCCUGAACUUGUCGAAUCUCUUCUGAUCUUGGAAGCUAAACAGGGUCUGGCCUGGCUAGUACUUGAAUGGGAGAAAAAUUAUUUCCCAGGACACAUUGGUGA